rnacentral:lncRNA from 1 species
GACCAUCUAGCAAUGAUACUCGACGGUCGGAUAGGUCGAAUGUGUAGAACAACAUCCUUAGAACCCACGCAGAUAUAGUUUCCAUAUAAUUCAUCUCCUUGACCAAAAUGAUCAUAGGAUACCUCAGAGUUCAACUAUCAACUCUGUUCAGGUUGUCCAUAUUGUAUUUCAAAAUAUCAAAUCCAUCUGAUGGAUUAUCCUGGCC